UGGAUGGUCUAGUUGGUUACGACGUCUGCUUCACACGCAGAAGGUCCCGGGUUCGAACCCCGGUU
rnacentral:ncRNA from 12 species